rnacentral:lncRNA from 1 species
CGAAUUCUCAUGACAUGUUCAGGUUUCCCUCUCAGGCUAUUAGAGGCUCUCUACAGUUUCUAUAGAUGACUCUGCUCCUUUCUUGAUCUCUAGCAUCACCCCUGGGCUCCAGGGCAAGGCUUCACCUUUUCUUGGCACCUGAAACCUCUGUUGACUUGUUCCUCUUCCCUUGAGUCCCCCAGCAAUUUCUUUGGGCAGGUUUUCCUUGCCUUGCCUACUUCAAAGCAACUUUCUAAGCAAAGUUGCUCUUCCUUCUUUAUUCAACACUGUGAAGUUUGGAGCAAGAGAAGAUUUCGAAGACACUCUGUUCUUUGUAUUCCCAGAACUGCAGCAUCACCUUUACCUGGGAGCUUGUGAGGACUGCAGAAUCUCAGUCUCCACCCCAAGCCUUCCAAAUUAGAAUCUCCAUUUUAAUAAGAGCCCAGAUGAUGGCACAGUGAAAACGCGGCCAUCUGAAAGCCAGGAAGAGAACCCUCGCAAGAACCCAACCAUGCUGGCAUCCCAAUCUUCAACUUCCAGCCUCCAGAACUGUAUGAGAAAAUACAUUUCUGUUGUUUAAGCCACUGUCUAUGGUACUUUGUUAUGACAGCCAAAGCUAAGACAAAA